CUUAGUGUCAGCGCAGCUCAAGCGCAACUAUUACGCCAAUACCUGCCCCAAUGUUGAAAGCAUUGUUAGGAAUGCCGUCACCCAAAAAUUCCAGCAGACCUUCAUUACAGUCCCCGGCACCCUCCGUCUCUUCUUCCACGAUUGUUUUGUCAAUGUAAGUAUUAAUUAACUCCUUCCAUUUUGCAAAAGACACGGAGCUCUUCUCUCUUAAUUGUGUGUGUGUGUGUGUGUAUAUUUUUUUUUUUCUUGAAUACACAUUGGAAUGACUGGUUCUGUCUCGGGUUAAUUGGAAACAAAAAGGGUUGCGAUGCUUCUGUCAUAAUAGCAUCGACCCCAAACAACCAGGCAGAAAAAGAUCACCCUGAUAACCUGUCACUGGCCGGAGAUGGAUUCGAUACGGUUAUCAAAGCCAAAGCAGCCGUUGAUGCAGUGGCGAGUUGCAGGAACAAGGUGUCGUGCGCUGACAUUCUUGCCAUGGCCGCCCGAGACGUUAUUGCACUGGUAAAUUCAUCUUCCCUCGUCCUCAUGCAUGCCUAGCUACUUGACCUUAAAAUCCAAUAAUAUUUUUCUUUCUAAUCUCAUCCGUGUAGGCCGGCGGACCUUCAUAUGCCGUUGAAUUGGGAAGACUGGAUGGCUUGAGCUCAACUGCCUCAAGCGUCAAUGGAAGACUGCCCAAGCCAAGCUUCAAUUUGAACCAGCU
rnacentral:lncRNA from 1 species